AGAGGUUUGCAGUAUACGUGGUGGUACCCAUGUGGCCUGAAGGUAUUCCCGAAAGUGGCUCCGUGCAAGCUAUCCUAGACUGGCAGAAGAAGACAAUGGAGAUGAUGUACACGCAAAUCGCCAAUGCGCUUCGUGCUCAAGGUAUCGACGAUCAAAGUCCAAGGGAUUAUCUUACAUUCUUCUGUCUUGCCAAUAGAGAGACCAAGGUAGAGGGCGAAUAUGAACCUACUGAGAGCCCAGAGGAAGGAAGCAAUUAUGCAGCUGCUCAAGCGGCUCGCCGAUUUAUGAUCUACGUGCAUUCGAAGUUCAUGAUUGGUAAGUCCCAUUACUCAAUGCUCGAUUGCCGAAUUUGGAGUGCCGUUUUCCUUUAAUUGUAUAUAUAAUCCUCGAUGAGUACAUGUCUCAGUAUCUGAGAAUAUUUAGAAUGACGAUUCUUUUUUGUUGUUGCAGUGGAUGAUGAGUACACCAUCAUCGGAUCAGCGAACAUUAACCAGAGGUCGAUGGACGGUUCUCGUGACUCUGAAAUCGCCAUUGGAGCCUACCAACCUUACCAUUUGAGCCGUGAUCGUCCCCCACGCUCUCAUAUCCACGGUUUCCGAAUGUCUUGUUGGUACGAGCACAUUGGUAAGCUGGACAAUGCAUUCUUAAAACCUUGGGAUCUCGAAUGUAUUCGCAAGGUGAAUCGUAUUGCAGACCAACAUUGGGAAAUGUUCGCUGGCGACGAGAUUGUUGACAUGCCCGGCCAUCUCUGUUCUUACCCCAUAGUUGUCAACGACGACGGUACCAUAACCAACAUUCCCGGAUUGGAACACUUUCCCGAUACCCAAGCUCCAAUCCUCGGUACGAAGUCUGGCAAUUUGCCAUCCAUCCUGACCACAUAAGAGGAAGAUGUCAAAAGGCAACCACUCUGGGUGUUUGAACACUGUACUGUGUACAUUUAGUUGUUAAACUCCUGUGUGGAACCUCUUAGACCGCAAUCUGGAGUUGUGGAGG
rnacentral:lncRNA from 1 species